rnacentral:rRNA from 1 species
UUUUGGGAGCUUGCUCCCGAAGGUUAGCGGCGGACGGGUGAGUAACACGUGGGCAACCUGCCUAUAAGACUGGGAUAACUUCGGGAAACCGGAGCUAAUACCGGAUAAUUCUUUUCUACACAUGUAGAGAAGCUAAAAGACGGUUUACGCUGUCACUUAUAGAUGGGCCCGCGGCGCAUUAGCUAGUUGGUGAGGUAACGGCUCACCAAGGCCACGAUGCGUAGCCGACCUGAGAGGGUGAUCGGCCACACUGGGACUGAGACACGGCCCAGACUCCUACGGGAGGCAGCAGUAGGGAAUCUUCCGCAAUGGACGAAAGUCUGACGGAGCAACGCCGCGUGAGUGAUGAAGGUUUUCGGA